UGUGCCCUCUCUGCUCUGGGUGCUCUGGGUGCCCCUUGGGUGCCUGGCACAGAGGGUACCAGCUCAAAGCUCUCCCUAUUGGGGUGCAGGUGCCUGUGGGUUGGCUUUGCUGUGCUGGUGGGUGUAGGGCUGGGGGGACCCUGCUGUGCUUGGGGUGCUGUGUACCCCCUUUGGGACACCAGGUAGAGGAGGAGGCUGAGGGCAGCGGGUGGCACAGCCGGUGUUGGUGUCACCCAUCAGUGUGUGUCACCCGCAUGGCCCAGGAUGGGUGUCUCGGUGCCGUUGUCCUCCCCAUGCUCAUGUACAAACACCCUGAGCCCUGUGUGUCCCCAAAUAAAGCCUUGAAUGCUGCUCACUGCUGUGAACCCCCCGACGUGAACCCCCUGAUGUGAACCCCCCGAUGUGAACCCCUCUGCCCACCGGGUGCUGCUGUGGGUUGGUGCCAUGGGGACAGGACAUGGCACAGGGAUGGGACCAGCACCACCGGCCAUGGUGGUGCCAGACCCACUGGUUGGACCCACAUCCCUGGAGGUGAAUGGGACUCACUCUGUGCAGCACUUUAUUGCCAUGGGGGGGUCCAUGGAAGAGGGGGUGCCAUGGACACCCCUGCCAGGCCAUUCCUUUGGGAUCGGGGCAUGUUCCUUCUCAGAGCAUCCCCCAUCCCAGUGCUGGUCCAUCCCUGCUGCACACGGGGAAGGAGAGGGCCCAGCACCGGAGCAUGCCCAAGCACCAUGGGUUGUGGUACCCAUUGGUGAUGGUUCUCCACCACGGAUCGUGCCGCAGCCUCGGCUGUGGUUCCAUGGCAGAGCCGGCUGUGGUUCCAUGGCAGAGCCAGGGCUGUGGUGCCAUGGCAGAGCCGGUUCUGGUUCCAUGGCAGAGCCGGCUGUGGUUCCAUGGCAGAGCUGGCUGCGGUGCCAUGGCAGAGCCGGCUGUGGUUCCAUGGCAGAGCCGGUUCUGGUGCUAUGGCAGAGCUGGCUGUGGUGCUAUGGCAGAGCCGGCUGUGGUGCUAUGGUAGAGCUGGCUGCGGUGCCAUGGCAGAGCCGGCUGCGGUGCCAUGGCAGAGCCAGUUGUGGUGCCAUGGCAGAGCCGGUUCUGGUGCCAUGGCAGUGCCAGGGCUGCGGCAGCUGUGCCCAUGCAGCCAUGGGCAGGAGCCGCUCACACAUCCCCCAUCACCAGGCAGUAGAAGUCUCUCCGGACGCUGUAGUUACGGGAGCCGAGGUCCGAGUCCUGGAUCUCGGGUCCCUGAGCAUCCCUGAGCUGCGGCUGCUCCAUCCCAGCGGCAGGAGCCGGAGCCGGAGCCAGGCGGGGAGGGGGGGGGCCGGAACAUGCAGUCCUGGAGGGCUGAACAUGUGGCACAUGGGGGGAGAUAAGGGGAGAUGGGGGCACAUGGGGGCACAUGGGGGCACAUGGGGGCACAUGGGGGCACAUGGGGGCAGAUGGGGGCACAUGGGGCACAUGGUGGCACAUGGGGGUAGAUGGGGGCACAUGGGGCACAUGGUGGCACAUGGGGGUAGAUGGGGGCACAUGGGGCACAUGGGGGCAGAUGGGGCACAUGGGGGCAGAUGGGGGCACAUGGGGGCAGAUGGGGCAGAUGGGGGCACAUAGGGGCAGAUGGGGGCAGAUGGGGGCACAUGGGUUAGGAUGUGUUAGGAUGGGUUAGGGUGGGUUAGGACGGGUUAGGAUGGGUUAGGAUGUGUUAGGAUGGGUUAGGAUGGGUUAGGAUGUGUUAGGAUGGGUUAGGGUGGGUUAGGAUGAGUUAGGGUGGGUUAGGAUGGGUUGGGAUGGGUUAGGAUGUGUUAGGGUGGGUUAGGAUGGGUUAGGAUGAGUUAGGGUGGGUUAGGAUGGGUUAGGGUGGGUUAGGAUGGGUUAGGAUGGGUUAAGAUGGGUAAGGAUGGGUUAGGGUGGGUUAGGGUGGGUUAGGAUGGGUUAGGAUGAGUUAGGAUGGGUUAGGAUCGGUUAGGAUGAGUUAGGAUGGGUUAGGAUGAGUUAGGAUGGGUUAGGAUCGGUUAGGAUGAGUUAGGAUGGGUUAGGAUGAGUUAGGAUGGGUUAGGAUCGGUUAGGAUGAGUUAGGAUGGGUUAGGAUGGGUUAGGAAGGGUUAGGAUGGGUAAGGAUGGGUUAAGUUGUGUUAGGAUGGGUUAGGGUGGGUUAGGAUGAGUUAGGAUGGGUUAGGAUGGGUUAGGAAAGCCCACAGGGACGUGCAGCACACACUGCCCCCCCCAGUGAACAAGGACACAAGGACCAUACCCAGGUCCCCAUCCGGGUGCAGGUCACUGCCACUGUCCCCAUAGGUGCUGCUCAGGGUCAGCAUUGGGUCCUUGUCCCCCUGCAGCCGGGUCUGUGGGUCCCCCACGGGCCCCGGGAGGGACACCCUGCGGGGCAGAGCCA
rnacentral:lncRNA from 1 species